rnacentral:rRNA from 1 species
CGAUAACGAACGAGACCUUAACCUGCUAAAUAGCCCGUACUGCUUUGGCAGUUCGCCGGCUUCUUAGAGGGACUAUCGGCUCAAGCCGAUGGAAGUUUGAGGCAAUAACAGGUCUGUGAUGCCCUUAGAUGUCCUGGGCCGCACGCGCGUUACACUGACAGAGCCAGCGAGUAUUUCCUUGACCGGAAGGUCCGGGUAAUCUUGUUAAACUCUGUCGUGCUGGGGAUAGAGCAUUGCAAUUAUUGCUCUUCAACGAGGAAUCCCUAGUAAGCGCAAGUCAUCAGCUUGCGUUGAUUACGUCCCUGCCCUUUGUACACACCGCCCGUCGCUACUACCGAUUGAAUGGCU